rnacentral:tRNA from 1 species
ACAUUAUUAUUAUAAAUCAGUAUAUUUAGCUUCCAACUAAAAAGUUCUUUAAAGAAUUAUGUA